AAUAAAGUGCCUGAUAAAAGGGCUAUCUUGAUAGGAUAGAUUAUACAAAAAUUAAUUGUCUUUAUUA
rnacentral:tRNA from 1 species